rnacentral:lncRNA from 1 species
CUUCAGUCAAAACCAGAAACCCAGAAGCUAUGAAUGACAAACUAAAUAAACACAUUUAGUUUCAUAAAACAAUUUUUUUUUUAAGAUAAAAGAGAGCUGAAACGAAGUGGUAAAGACAGACUGGGGAGAAUGUUUUUGAUGCAUAUGGUGGACAAAGGCUUUUAAUUCCUAAUAAAGGAAGAACUCCUGAACACAUAGAAAGAUGAUCCCAGAGAAAAACUGCUAGAGACAAUGACCGUGCAGUUCAGAGGAGGGAAAUUCAGGUAGCUAAACGCAUGUGAAAAGGAGCUCGACCCUCUGGGAGGGAAAGUUCAGAUUAAGACAGAUGCUGGUCUUGCACCAUGGGAUGGGCGGAAGUUGAAGGGAGCCUGUGGUGUCACAGACGAGGCUGCGAAGUGACAUUGCUGCUGGGGCACACAUAGCCACCAAGUCUUUGGAAAGUAAUCUGAUCAUAGCUACUAAAGGGAAAAACACACAGACCUUUAAUCAAACCUUCUCACACCUGGGAAUCUGACAGAGGUGCAUACAAAGGUGUUUCCUGGGUCAUUUUUAAUACCUGUCGGUAGGGGAAUGAUUGAAUAAAGCGUCUUUUAUCUGUACUAUAGAAUAUUAUACAAUCCUUAAAAAGAUAAAGUAAGUUCUGUGUUUAUUGAAGGAUGGCAUUUUUAAUAUAAAAAACAAAUUACAGACUAGUUUUAGGGUGUACUCUUAUUUUCUAAUCACUAACACUAAUAUCUUAAAACUUCAGUUAUACAUUUCACUUGUUACAACCACAUAUUGCUUUUUAAUUUAGAAAGAGAACGAGGACAGUCAGUUGCUACACAGAGGCCUGAGGCUGUGAGAGGUACAGACUACGCAGGAGGGUCACCUGCUCUGUUUGUCAGGGGCAGGCACAUCUACGUGGGACAUGUGCCUCUGGGGACAUCACACGGAGUGGCCUUCUGGUCUCCCAUGGUCCAGUGCAUCCCUUGCUCUGCUUAGAACCCUCGAAGGAUUUUAUUUUAAUUCCAGUCUCCUCACUCCCCCAGGGGGCUGUGUGACUUGACCCUGGAACACACCUUCAGGUCCCCUGCUGUCCGGUCUGCCCCCCAGGAAGGCCCCCUGUUCCUCCCUAAGCGGGGCCACCUGCUCGGCGCGAUGCUUUUGUGCAGGCUCGUCCUGCUUCCCGACUCCCGGCUCUGUCCUCUCCUUUCUUUCCCUUCAUGAGCUCAGCCUCCCUGAUGUCCUCUUUCCUUUGUGGAGAGGGUCCUUAGACCACGAAGCACGUUUCUUCUGGACAGGAGGCUCCGAGGGUGGAGAUUGCGCCUUGAUCUCAGCCCUGGGACCUUGUGGGUUUGGUGAAGGAGGAGGACAGUGUCCUUUGCACGCCCUGUUCACUAAUCAGCUAGUGGUCACGAGGCUGCUUCCUGGUGUGUCACUGCUGAGGAGCCUCGUGGUCAGCAGCAGUGCAGGAGCUCCGUCACAAAAUGUACAGCAUCUGCUCUGUGCACGUGCCUGGGCCACAGAGGCCAUGUGGCCACUGGUGUCCCAAGUUCUCCCAGAGGGAAUGUGCCACCCUUUCCCUCCCACUCGUGACUAGGGAGGGACUCAGGAACACAGAAGCUUCUCCCUCAGCAAGCCAGACAGUGUCACCGUGUCCAAAUGAUGUCUACAUGUCAAAGGGGCCCACCGUCCCAGCCGGCAGAGACGUGGCAGGUGACAGGUAGCGAUGUAUCACAAGCAAGGGAAGAAGAGUGGGUCUCAAACCUGAGGAAGAGGGCAGUGGAGUGGGGCUUGGUGCUCUAUAGUGACAACAGAUUCCAUUGAGCUUAUCCUGGAGAGGCGCAGCAAAAACCGGAAGUGAAUAUAUCUGCAGAAAUUAAACACGAGGCUGUGACCCGUGAGUUGCACCAGCUCAGUUGGUCUCAGCAUCUGUGUUGCAAAUUGUUCACAAAAGCCGUUUACGAGGGCCUUGCCGUGUUUGUAAUCCAUUAUCUACAUCAUGAUCAUGGAUGGUAGGAUUUGGAGUUCAGAGGGACGUGAGCCCAAACUGACAAGGGUGGGUAAGGAG